GCGGACGGGUGAGUAACGCGUGGGUAACCUGCCCUGUACACACGGAUAACAUACCGAAAGGUAUGCUAAUACGAGAUAAUAUACUUUUAUCGCAUGGUAGAAAUAUCAAAGCUUUUGCGGUACAGGAUGGACCCGCGUCUGAUUAGCUAGUUGGUAAGGUAACGGCUUACCAAGGCGACGAUCAGUAGCCGACCUGAGAGGGUGAUCGGCCACAUUGGAACUGAGACACGGUCCAAACUCCUACGGGAGGCAGCAGUGGGGAAUAUUGCACAAUGGGCGAAAGCCUGAUGCAGCAACGCCGCGUGAGCGAUGAAGGCCUCCGGGUCGUAAAGCUCUGUCCUCAAGGAAGAUAAUGACGGUACUUGAGGAGGAAGCCCCGGCUAACUACGUGCCAGCAGCCGCGGUAAUACGUAGGGGGCUAGCGUUAUCCGGAAUUACUGGGCGUAAAGGGUGCGUAGGUGGUUUCUUAAGUCAGAGGUGAAAGGCUACGGCUCAACCGUAGUAAGCCUUUGAAACUGGGAAGCUUGAGUGCAGGAGAGGAGAGUGGAAUUCCUAGUGUAGCGGUGAAAUGCGUAGAUAUUAGGAGGAAC
rnacentral:rRNA from 1 species